rnacentral:rRNA from 1 species
GACGAACGCUGGCGGCGUGCUUAACACAUGCAAGUCGAACGGAAAGGCCCUGCUUUUGUGGGGUGCUCGAGUGGCGAACGGGUGAGUAACACGUGAGUAACCUGCCCUUGACUUUGGGAUAACUUCAGGAAACUGGGGCUAAUACCGGAUAGGAGCUCCUGCUGCAUGGUGGGGGUUGGAAAGUUUCGGCGGUUGGGGAUGGACUCGCGGCUUAUCAGCUUGUUGGUGGGGUAGUGGCUUACCAAGGCUUUGACGGGUAGCCGGCCUGAGAGGGUGACCGGCCAAAUUGGGACUGGGGUACGGCCCAGACUCCUACGGGAGGCAGCAGGGGGGAAUAUUGCACAAUGGGCGGAAGCCUGAUGCAGCAACGCCGCGUGCGGGAUAACGGCCUUCGGGGUGUAAACCGCUUUCGCCUGUGACGAGGCGUGAGUGACGGUAAUGGGUAAAGAAGCACCGGCUAACUACGUG